CUUCACCUGCUCUUCUAUGCAAACGCAAAAAUGCAGAAGACUGAGGUAGUCAAAGUAAUAUGAAGAUGCUUCCUUGUCACCCAGUAACAACAGCCUGGGGUUGAGGAGAGCUUGGAUCUUUCUUCAGGACAAUAUGCAUUUAAAGAAGCACCCUGAAGCUGGAGUGCAGCUAUGAAAUUCCCCAUGUGUGAAGCAAAGAAGGUCUAGAGAGCAGACUCGGAGCUGUCCCUGUGCAGCAGUAUAUAGGUGUAACCUACUGUCUGUGACAUUAUUCAUAAUCC